UAAAUGUAAAACGGUCAAUAACUUUAUGUACAAUGUGGCUACCGUAGCCAUUUCAGGUUUGUACAUGUGCAAUUCAGGCCUCUACCAUCUCCAAAAGGAAAGGAGCAAUGUGAUAGCCUUUACGGCAAUUACUUCUGUAGCCCUGGGCUUUGCCCUUUAAGACUGGGCUUUAUCCAAUAAAUAUCUUCCUUUUUAGAAAAAGAAAUGGAGAAAUAUAGUUUGUUAGUAACAUACUUACACGUGUGAAUUUAUAUAUACAGCCUACCUUGCUUGCAGUCCAAAACAACCUCCUACUGGUCAGAUGAACGUCACUCACCUUUUAUUUGAUGUUGACUGGUUGUGGGGUGGGACAUGCGGAGAAGUAUGGGAUGCUGCUAGAGAGAAUACGGGGAGAGACGAGAGGAGAGGAGAGUGAGUGCCGGAUUGAGCGCUGCAUGACGAGAGCCAGAUGCAGCUUGGAAGAUAAAAGCCGUAUCAGAUUAUGUAUUAGGUGAAAAGACGGUAAUUGAAAAGCUUACACACUGCAUGCAAGUAGUUAAUGCACCAAAGUGUGAAUUUGUGUCUGUGAAUUACACUUUUGUAUCUGUUAGCUUUGUAAAGUUGGUAUGAGCUCAGCGGCUAAUGCUAGGUCAGCUACUGAAGUCUAGAAUUACACCCAUGUUGUUUGGGCUAGUUAGCUAAGCUAGUUCAGUACAGUCUCUGGGUACUACACGUGAAAACUGCAGACCCAGAUAGCACUCUGGGUGACUGGAAAAGCCUGUGAGUUCCUCUGGCAGCGCAGGACCCAAGAAUUCAUCCCAGAUAGCCAGGGCCGGCCCGUGGCAUAAACAGUCUAUGCUGUUGUUUAGGGCCACAACCGCUGGGGGGGGGGGGGGGGGCACACGACCACGAGGGGGGCCACAUGAUCCAAUGUUUAUAUAAGGUAAAUAACGUUAUUUUUGUAAUAACGUUAUUCAUCCCCUAUCGCGGAACUCACGGUAUUAAUUUUAAAUGGAACAGCAACAGAGCAUUUCAUAACAAUGUAAUGUAAGAAGGAUUUUACAGGGAAAUGCCCCCCCCCCCCCGACAGAAUCCAACAGACACCCCCCCUCCCCCUUAGAUUUUCUUAGGGCCACCAAAAUGACCGGAAAAGCCCGCAAGUUCCUCUGGCAGCUUUGGAGAAAUACCCUUUUUCCUGAGAACAUUCAUCUACCCACCUGUGUCACUCUACCACCAUCAGCAUCAUCUCAUAUCCACAGAUUACCUACGGUAGGGACUGUGAGUACCAUAUUUGUUUCUUGCUCUGUCGGAGUUAAGGGGCUAUUGAUAUUUAGUCACAACGUACCCAAGCAACGAUUAGGCCUGCAAUGGGUGUUUAUUUUAUUUUGUUUAAGCAUUGCCAGCUUGUGUCUUUUGAGUUCAAGGUGUGUGGGCCCACAAAAUAUUUGAAGGUGUUAUAUUGAGCAAAGUGCUUUUGGUCACUAACUUUGCAUUUCUGAACGGAAAGCUAUUUUAAAUUGCACUGUGAAAGGAAUAGCCUAUUAGAAGCCCUGUUGGCAUAAUUUGAGUGUCCUAAACAAAAAGCUACUAUUCAAAUUACCUGUUUUUAUUUGUUUUGUGUUUUCUAUUGGCUAAUCUAUUACUAAACUGAAGUUUUUUUUUUCUAUAAUUCUGAAUAAAUGGGACUAUAUAUUUGUUAACAUACUUACCUGAGUUAGUUAUUACUGGUACUUUUGAUAUUUACCUGUAUAAUCUUGUUGAAGUUCAUACUUAUCAUAGAUUUGUGUAACUCUGGUGAAAGUUAUGGUGUUUUGGGUUAAAUAUACUUACCUUAAUGGGGGAAACCCAUAAUUAGUGAAAUCCAUACUUACCUUUAAAAGUUGAAUCCUUCUAAAAUCUGUACUUUGAUUAGAGAUAGUCCAGUGAAGUAAAUACUUACCCGAAGGGGUUAUUCUUGUCAUGGUUCUGUCUUUUUGUUUCUAUUUUUCCUUUUUGGGCCGCCAGUUGGUGGUACUUGUCAGUUUUUGUAUUUCUGUUCAUUCCCUCAUUGGUUUCCCCUGUGUUAAUUGUAUUAUUGUUUUCCAUUAUUGUCUCGUUAUUUAAUCAUUGUUCCCACCUGUCUCGUUAUUUCAUCAUUGUCCCCACCUGCCUCUCGUUAUCCCUUCCCUCUCGUUUGAUUAUGUAUUGAGUUCACUUGUGUCUUGUCUAUUUAAUUUAUUUGUUCCCCUGACACGGGUGCUGGUUCCUUGUGUUUGUUUCUGACUCUAUGUAUCUGCCCGAUUUGGUCCUGCUUGCGUUUCAUGUGUGUUUCUGCCUGCAUUCCCGCUUGUGUUCCGCUUGUAUGUAUCUGCUUGCUUGUGUUUGUGUUUCUGACUGUGUUUCUGCUUGUGAGUUUCCACCUAUUUGUGUGUGUUCCGCCUCCCCGUAUUUCUGACCUGCCUGUGUUUUGGCCUGCCUGUGUUCUGUUCGUUUUUUUGGGGGGUUUUUUGAGUUUGUGGUUUUGCCCCUCGUGGCCCCUUUGUUUGUUCCUGAGUUUUUUUUGUAUUAAAUUCUUUUUCAGCCAGUACUGGACCCAGCAGGGUUAUUAAAUAUUAAAAUGUACCAGUGCAAGAAGGCAGAGCUCCAUACAGUUGUUUAUAUCACUGUCAGGGCUCUCUUCACUCUGAGCCCUGCUAUUAAUUGCUAGAGGUAAAUAAUUCCCUCGCAACUAAAUCAGUAGCAAUCAUAAAGAUAAUUGUAUAAAUGCCUUGAAGGAUCUUGUCGGUUUCUAAAAGGUCCCUUCUAAAUGCUCUUCUUACAGCGAUGAGUUGUUCAUCAACAAAAACCUUGCAUUCAUUUCUGCUGUUGGUGUUUGUGUGAUUUAGCUAAUUUAAACAUAAAUCUGUGAUUCUGCCGGUUUGGGCUUAAGACAAGUUCGGCUAAAUUGUGAACUUGCUUCUUGAAACCAAAAAUCCAGAGUUUAUUCCCAAAUGUUAACAAACUAAUCAGGUUAACUGAGUUAGCCACAUAUGUGAAACAGGGCCCCAGUAUUUAAAACAUGUUCUGGACCUGUUUACAAUUUAACUUCAGUUUUGAAUAGGUUUUGUAAAAAGGUUGCAACAUCUUAUGCUAGCUGGGCAUUUGUUCAAGUUCAGAAAAGCUUAAUGCUCAGUUAUUAAUUCCUUGUUUACCUCAGUGGGCACUGGGGAUACAGCAAAAACAGAUUCCAUUCGAACCAAAUUGAUAGAAGCUAAUUGAAGAAAUAAGCUUACCAGGAAUUUUCAAGUGACAAUCAUGCUCCUGUUUUGAAGGUCCACACACUUGGUCAGAGAAAUGUUUGAGCUCUGCCAGCUUGAGCCCUCAUUCAGAGAGGAGCAGCAGGGAGGGUGAAACCCAUCCAAAUUUCGUAUUGAUGAGAGUGGACGUCCCACUCGAUUUCAAACCAUAUUCCCACUGCUUCUAAAAUAAAAUAGUAUUAAUUGGCUUGUGGAAAUGAACUUCUCAUGGUUCCAUCCAAGAUGUGGUUGAAUCCACAGAUGUGCUCAGGAGCAAAGAGAUUAAAAAAUUGCUUCUUGUUUCUUUAGAUUUUGGACAGCCAACCCUUGAGCUAUCUGUCUGUCUCCUUUCAAGAGGGGUCACCGGGAACAGCUUUGAUGGUGAAAAGCUGGAUUUGAAUCUGGCCUGGGCCUUUCUGUGUGGAGUUUGCAUGUUCUCCGCCAUGUCUGCAUGGGUAUCCUCCAGGUACUCCAGUUUCUUGCCACAGUCCAAAGACAUGCAGGUCCUGGUCGGAUGCUACAUUUGGCUUCUUCAUGAAUGAGAUGGAUAUAUAGUUUUGCACUUAUGUCACAAGAAAUUAUUGAAGAAUACUUGAACACUACAGAUCCAGUCAUGGUCACUAUGGAAGAAGAUUAGCUCUCCCCUGCAUUUACAGCGAUUGUGUGUGCUAUAUGCAGUCACAAAAGUCUCUCCAAACACACGAGACAACGUGGUGUUGAGAAUUAGAUGCCAUUUAUGUGACUUUGAAGAACCUGCAGACGUUAAACUAUACUUUCGUAAUCUUGGCACGCAUUUGAGAAAUAAGGAAACUGUCAUUUGCUCAUUUAAUCGUUGUGCUUUUAAAUCAAGUGUUAACUCCAGUUUUCCACCACACAAAAGUCUAUCAUAACUCCAACUCUUUACAAGAUUUUAAAGCAGAGCUUCUUCUUGGCCCACCAAAAUAAAUUGAACACUCAGAAGAUCAUGUUUUAGAUACUGCUGCACAAAUAGCCGAUACUAACACUCAAUCAGCAGAUGGAAAUUGUGUUGACUUCCAGUCAGAUGAUGACGAAGAUGCUGACAUUGAACAUGGCAAUGACAUUGGUGAAAAAAUUAAGGGAAGACUUGCAUCUUUGCUUCUACGCAUGCAAGCAGUCUACACAGGAAAUAAUUAAUGAAUUUUAUGAAAUUGGUAUUUUAGCUGGUGAACUUUCAAAAAACACUGUUUAAGUGGUUCUUAAAGAGCAUAACUUAAAUAUAGAUGAUGCCACACUGAAGUUAGUGACUGAGACCCUCCAGAAAACCAAUCCUCUUAGCUGUCUUUCAGAGAGUGGUCCUCUUGGAACUGAAUACAAAAGGCAGUCAUUUUACAACAAAAGAUUUAAUGUUAUUGAGCCAGUUGAAUAUGUUUUAGAUGGUCUGCACAAAAAAACUUCUGUAUAUGUCCCAAUUUCAAUUGUAUUGCCAAAAUUAUUGAAUGGGGUGACGUAAUUGACAAAAUCCUAGAACAGUCAAACGUAAAACCUCAGUUUGGUCAGUACAAAUCAGUUUGUGAUGGGCUAUACUUCAAAGAUAAUCCACUUCUUUCAGAUGAAGACUUGGGUAUUUCUCUAGGAUUAUAUAUUGAUGAAUUUGAAAUAUGCAACCCUUUGGGACUUCAAGAAAAAAACAUAAAGUUACUGCUAUUUAUUUGGUAUUUGCAGAUUUGCCUGUCAGAUGCAGAUCAGCCUUAUCCAAUAUAUACCUUUCAGUACUGAGCAAUAGUAGUGAUGUGAAGACUUUUGGUUAUGAACUAAUUGUUGAACCACUUCUUAGGGAGCUUUGUAUACUUUAAACCAGGGAUUUUACAUUGAUAGGUUGAGUACUUCCAUCAAAGGCACAGUCCUGUAUGUGUCACCAGACAAUUUAGGAGCUCAUUCUUUGGCUGGGUUUUAAGAGUCACUUUGUGUUGAUACAUUUUGUAGAUUCUGCUUAGCCAGCCAUGAUGCUAUUCAGAGUGUCUCUGUGAGGGAUGGUUUGUUUCCACUGAGAACUAAAAUAUCGCACACUGAAGCUGUUCAGAGAGUAAAAGAGAACGAGGGUCUUGUUGUUGAUGGAGUGAAAAGGGAUUGUGUCCUAAACAGACUAAACUUUCACUAUGUAACAGGUUUUCCAUCAGACUUCUUACAUGACUUAUUUGAAAGAAUCGUACGUGUGGAGUUGUGUUUGUGUUUAAAGACACUGAUAGACAAGAAUUACUUUACCUUAGAGGAAUUGAAUUCUGCCAUUCAGCAUUUUCCCUAUAAAUUCUCAGAUAAGACAAAUAGACCACAGACAAUUCCCAAGGCCUUUAGAUCAAAAGGAACGGUUGGUGGGAACGGCCAUGAAAAUUGGUCACUUUUGAGGCUGCUCCCCUUGCUUAUUGGCAAUAAAAUACCCGAGAAUGGCACGACUUAGGGUAUCAUCUUAGAUAUUAAAGACAUUGUGGAAAUUCUAGCAUCGCCCAUGUUCACGGAGGAAAAGCGGUUUUAUCUUGAAGCCAGAAUCUUUGAACACCGCCAACUCCUACAGGAGGUUUUUCCUGAGUUUAAGCUGAAACCAAAACAUAAUUUUUUAGAGCAUUAUCCCCGUCUAGUUUGUUGUUUUGGGCCUUUGCUUGACUUUUGGACAAUUAGAUUUGAGGCCAAGCAUAGCUUUUUUAAGAUGGUUGUUCGCGAUGUUAAUAAUUUUAAAAAAUAUACUACUAACUUUAGCCUCCAGGCACCAGCUCAUGUUGGCAUAUUACAUGGGCAUGCCUACCCUGUUCAAACCAGCACUGGAAGUUGGAAAAAUAUCAACUGUCAUGUCCUGCCCCCUCUGUCAAAGACACUAUCAAUUCAGAAAUGUGACUGCUAUUUCUCUUGCAAAAACUGUAUUCUUACACGGAACUCAGUACACACAAGGAAUGUUUUUAUCAAUUCGAAACACAAGUGGACUGCCUGAUUUUUGGAAAAUUGUUAAUGUGUUAAUUGUUGAAAACAAGCUGUUUUUUGUGGAAACGUACACAGCAUUGGUACACAAAGCACUUGAGUUAUGAGGUCUGCAAAAAUCACUCUGCAAAACUGCUUGUAGUCCAACCAGAGGAGCUCAAUGACUACUUCCCCCUGUCGGUGUAUAUGGGUCAAGACAGACUUCUGGUUUCUCCUAAAGCAUUUCUGCCUCAUUGAGUUAAAUUAGCACCUCUCUUACACAGUUUCAACAAAACACCAACAUUAUGACCUUUAUAACUGUAUGGCUACUGGAUUGGAUUGCAUUGUAGGGUGUCUCUUUUGUUUUGUCCACCCCCUGUAUCUUGCUUCAGUUAAGUCUUGCCAUUUACUUGUCAUGUUUUGUCAUUCUCAGCUUCACAGUGGAGCACGAGCUGCCAUCCUGGUUUGUUGUCCAGCUAGAGGAGCUCAACGAUUACUUCCACGUUGGCGUAUAUGGCUCAAGACAGACUUCUAGUUUCUCCUAAAUCAUUUCUGCUGCAUUGAGCUAGAGGAGCUUGAAGAUUACUUCCCCCUGUUGGCGUGUAUGAUUGCCCAACAUGCUGCUGCAAAUCAUUCUCAACAAAGAUGACAUUAGGAAGAUCCAGAUUGAUAGUUUGCCAGAGACUCUUGAUGAGUUUUAUUCAUUCUUGAAAUGUAAGCUUGGAUUGGAAGGUGACUUGGUGGUCCAAUAUGAAGAUUGAGAGUUUGACAAUGAGCUCUGCAACUUUAUGAGCUUGUCUGAUCUUCCUGAGGGGAAGGCAACACUGAAGGUAACUGUCAAGCAGGCCCCUGAGUCAUAUCACACUGAUUCAACGUUUGACACGGCAAGUUUGUCCUUGUCCCCAUUGUCUUUUCGUGAAGACAUUUCCACCUACCAUCGGCCUUGGCCUGACCCAUUUGAGAUUCCUAGAUUUUCAAAUGAUGUAGAGUUGCAACUUAAAAGGGAUAAUGAAGCCUACCAGGAGAACAGAACCUUGCUUAAUACAAGGAAAGACAUUAAAUCUGAGAUACUUGACAAAUUGGCAGAAGCAAUGUACGCAUACACUGCCUACCCAUCACGAGAAGAAUAUGACAUCGUUGCACAAAGUCUCAUCAAGAAACAUCCUUGCCUGAGGGAGCCUGGGUCUGCCAAGGGUUGGCACUGCUGGAAAUUCAGCCAAAAAUUAAAAAUGGGAAACUACAGGAACAAGCUCUGUGUGGCUGGAUGCUCUGAACUCCAAGUUAAUCGCUGCUCCUCAGGACCAAAACAGAAGCUCAAGAAAGCUAAAAAAGCCGAAGUCAAUUUUCUUCCUGACUUCCCUGAAGGAAGAACCAAAAAUGUUCUGGAAGAUAGAUAGAUUAGCCAUUAUUGGAGAGAUGAAGAAGAAGAAAGUUGGUAUGAAGAAAGUCAACAAAAUGAUGGUCAGCAUCUUCUCCCUGCAACAAAAGCAAAUUGUGGAACAAGAGCCACCUGUGGCAGAGGUGAAGACCCAGUGGCCAGCUUUGUUCACGGAGCAACAGGCCACAGACACUGAGGACAGCAUGGCAAGGGAAAUGAAUGUCGGCAUCCUCCUGAUGAAAGGAUCUUCUUGACGUCUCGGUGGCGCUGGAGGAUCAGAUCAUUCUGCAUGGCAUCAAGGACUACUCACAUGCGGUAGCUAUGCUAAUUGGUCUGCUAUAUGCACUGAACAUUGACUAACCGAAGGAGCUGUAAUAUACCUUCAAAGUCAUUCAGAAGGUUCUCGUGAAUAUCGGCAGUGAGCAAUGCUCUGCAAGCGUUCAUGGACUGAGGAAUAGACUUCUUCGUAAAACUGUGUAGGCACUACACUGAGACAGGAGUUUUGUGAAAGUUGACAAUGAUACAUUGGUUGGCCAUUAUCCUACAGUUUUCUUUAGAGUUCUGUUCCACUAUUACAACGUAACUUUGUUCACUAACCGAUCUUAUGCCACAUUCUCAGUUGAGCAAAUUUAAGAGCUUUUCCAUAAAGUUGUAAGUUGAAAUUAGUCAUAACUUUUUUCCUACAAGCCUAGGGGUUUGAGGUCUUUACUGCAAAGUCUGUUUUACUACCGUGAGAUUGACCUUUUUGGUUGUGCAUAAUUUUACUUGAUAUUUUUAGUUUAUUAUGCACUUACUCAUAUUUUUACUUGUAUUUUUAAAAAUACAUUUUUCAUUAAUUUUUUUUACAUGCAUCUGCAAACACUUGUAUAAGUAAGGAUAGUGACAGAAUGAAAGAUAGCGGCAGCAGUAAUGAGUAGAGAAUACUUAUUUGUGCACAUUCUAGAGCGGGGAUGUUUACCCACAAGCUUGUGCUGUUUUAGGGGUAAAAAUAUUUUUGUAUUUGAUGGGAUCUGUUAUUUUGCUGUAUACUCAAAGGUUGUUUUAUUACCUUGCCCAUCUGUGUUAUUAAAUCUUUGAAGAACUGGAAUUGGUUUGGUUUCUUUUAAACAACCAAUAACCUGUAGAGAUGAGACCUUUAAAUCUAAUCUAAAAUGAAGCUGAAGUCUAAUAAAAGUAAAGAGAAUUACUAAAUAUGUAGUAUAAACUUAAUCUUAAGCAGAACUGAAUUAUGAUUAAGUUAACUCAAAUAUAAAUAUAUAAUAAAGUUGACAUAACAUAGUUAGGUAAACUAGAUAUUGUAGGUAGACUGAACUGUAGAUGACUGUAGAACUGUAGAGAUUGGCUGGACUACCGGCAUCUGCCAUCAUACCCCUGCAACUCAUUCAGAAUGCUGCAGCUCACCUGGUCUUCAACCUCCCCAGACA